AGUGUAUGUGGCGGAUGCCUUGGCGAUCACAGGCGAUGAAGGACGUGACAGCCUGCGAAAAGCCGUGGGGAGUUGGCAAAUGAACUUUGAUCCACGGAUGUCCGAAUGGGGGAACCCGGUCUCUUCGGAGACCAUUCCAGUCUGAAUACAUAGGGCUGGAAGGCGAACGCGGUGAACUGAAACAUCUAAGUAACCGCAGGAAAAGAAAUCAACCGAGAUUCCGAAAGUAGCGGCGAGCGAAAUCGGAGGAGCCUAGCGUUCGAUAGCGAAUUCGAUACCGGAACGGUCUGGAAAGUCCGGCUACAGAGGGUGAUAGCCCCGUACGGGAAAUCGAAGUCGUGGUACUAAGUGCGCGAAAAGUAGGGCGGGACACGUGACAUCCUGUCUGAAGAUGGGUGGACCAUCAUCCAAGGCUAAAUACUCGUGAUCGACCGAUAGCGAACCAGUACUGUGAAGGAAAGGCGAAAAGAACCCCGGGAGGGGAGUGAAAUAGAUCCUGAAACCGCAUACAUACAAACAGUAGGAGCCUCUUUAUGGGGUGACUGCGUACCUUUUGCAUAAUGGGUCAGCGACUUACGUUUAGCGGCAAGCUUAACCGAUUAGGGGAGGCGCAGCGAAAGCGAGUUCGAACAGAGCGAUGAAGUCGUUAGGCGUAGACCCGAAACCAGAUGAUCUAUCCAUGGCCAGGUUGAAGGUGUGGUAACACACACUGGAGGACCGAACCGACUAGUGUUGCAAAAUUAGCGGAUGAGCUGUGGAUAGGGGUGAAAGGCUUAACAAAUCUGGAGAUAGCUGGUUCUCCCCGAAAACUAUUGAGGUAGUGCCUCGUGUAUUGCUCCAGGGGGUAGAGCACUGUUAUGGCUAGGGGGACAUGGCGUCUUACCAAACCAUGGCAAACUCCGAAUACUUGGAAGUAAGAGCACGGGAGACAGAGCACCGGGUGCUAACGUCCGGACUCAAGAGGGAAACAACCCAGACCGCCGUUUAAGGUCCCAAAUAUUGACUAAGUGGAAAACGAAGUGUGAAGGCUAAGACAGUCAGGAAGUUGGCUUAGAAGCAGCCAUCCUUCAAAGAAAGCGUAAUAGCUCACUGAUCGAGUCUUCCUGCGCGGAAGAUGUAACGGGGCUAAGUCAAUAACCGAAGCCGCGGAUUCACGACUUGUCGUGAGUGGUAGGGGAGCGUUCUGUAAGCCUGCGAAGGCGGUUCGCAAGGACUGCUGGAGGUAUCAGAAGUGCGAAUGCUGACAUGAGUAACGUUAAAGCAGGUGAAAAGCCUGCUCGCCGUAAGCCCAAGGUUUCCUGCUCUACGUUCAUCGGAGCAGGGUGAGUCGGCCCCUAAGGCGAGGCUGAGAAGCGUAGCUGAUGGGAACAAGGUUAAUAUUCCUUGACCGCCGUUGAGUGCGAAGGGGGGACGGAGUGUUGAAGAUCAUCCGGGUGUUGGAUGUCCCGGUUUGUGAACGUAGGAGGCCGGCAGGCAAAUCCGCCGGCGUAUCUCCGAGGUGAAGCAUCGAGGUCCGUAUGGACCGAAGUGAUCGGAUGGGCUCCCAGGAAAAGCCUCUAAGCUCCAGCUCAACGGGACCGUACCGCAAACCGACACUGGUGGGCGAGCUGAAUAUGCUCAGGCGCUUGAGAGAACUCAGGAGAAGGAACUCGGCAAAUUGACACCGUAACUUCGGGAUAAGGUGUGCCUCGGUAGCGUGAAGGAAGAAACAUCCGGAGCGUGAAGAGGUCUCAGAGAAUCGGUGGCUGCGACUGUUUACUAAAAACACAGCACUCUGCAAAGACGAAAGUCGACGUAUAGGGUGUGAUGCCUGCCCGGUGCUGGAAGAUUAAUUGAUGGGGUGCAAGCUCCUGAUCGAAGUCCCAGUAAACGGCGGCCGUAACUAUAACGGUCCUAAGGUAGCGAAAUUCCUUGUCGGGCAAGUUCCGACCUGCACGAAUGGCAUAACGAUGGCCACACUGUCUCCUCCUGAGACUCAGUGAAGUUGAAGUGUUUGUGAUGAUGCAAUCUCCCCGCGGCUAGACGGAAAGACCCCAUGAACCUUUACUGUAGCUUUGCAUUGGACUU
rnacentral:rRNA from 1 species